rnacentral:rRNA from 1 species
GAUGAACGCUGGCGGCGUGCCUAAUACAUGCAAGUCGAGCGAACAGACGAGGAGCUUGCUCCUCUGACGUUAGCGGCGGACGGGUGAGUAACACGUGGAUAACCUACCUAUAAGACUGGGAUAACUUCGGGAAACCGGAGCUAAUACCGGAUAAUAUAUUGAACCGCAUGGUUCAAUAGUGAAAGACGGUUUUGCUGUCACUGAUAGAUGGAUCCGCGCCGCAUUAGCUAGUUGGUAAGGUAACGGCUUACCAAGGCGACGAUGCGUAGCGGACCUGAGAGGGUGAUCGGCCACACUGGAACUGAGCCACGGUCCAGACUCCUACGGGAGGCAGCAGUAGGGAAUCUUCCGCAAUGGGCGAAAGCCUGACGGAGCACCGCCGCGUGGGUGAUGAAGGUCUUCGGAUCGUAAAACUCUGUUAUUAGGGAAGAACAAAUGUGUAAGUAACUAUGCACGUCUUGACGGUACCUAAUCAGAAAGCCACGGCUAACUACGUG